GAUGAACGCUGGCGGCGUGGAUUAGGCAUGCAAGUCGGACGGUAGGGCUUUAUCGUAAGAUAGAGUUUGAGAGUGGCGAACGGGUGAGUAACACGUAGGAAUCUACCCUCAAGACGGGGACAACCCAGGGAAACUUGGGCUAAUACCGGAUGUGAGCAACUUUUAGUUGUUUGAAAGGUGGCGUAAGCUGUCGCUUGGGGAUGAGCCUGCGUCCUAUUAGUUAGUUGGUGAGGUAACGGCUCACCUAGGCAAUGAUAGGUAGGCGGCCUUAACGGGUGGUCGCCCACACUGGGAUUGAGAUACGGCCCAGACUCCUACGGGAGGCAGCAGUCGAGAAUAGUCUACAAUGGUCGGAAGACUGAUAGUGCGACGCCGCGUGAACGAUGAAUCCCUUCGGGUGUAAAGUUCUUUUAUAUGUGAGCAGUGCUUCUUAUAUUAACAGUAUGGGGAGAGAGAUAUUAGCAUAUGAAUAAGCAACGGCUAACUCCGUGCCAGCAGCCGAC
rnacentral:rRNA from 1 species